UGAUAAAACCGGAAAUCAGCAACUAAACGAAAUGUGUUAACCAAACCGUUAUUUUCCAAAAGCAGAGCAACAGGCUUCGUCUAACAGACUUAAUCCGUUAAAAAACCGUUAUUCUAAACCACGGUCCACGGUUAACUAUUAACCAUGGUUAGAUUAGCUUAAACCCCACAGUAUAAAUCCGUCGACGAAUCUUUCUCCUUUGCUCUCGACUUAACUCUGUUUCUAUCUUAUAAACUCACUUCAAUCUUCAUUCUUCUUCCUCCAAGAUUUUGAAUCAAGAUUCUUGAAAAAGAAAAAUGGAUGGUGUUGUUCAUCAAGCUCAAGCACGAGAUCAAGAUAGUCGUCGUCGAACAAAUCAAAACGGUCGACUUAUCGAAGCGACAAUCUUGGUCUCUCUCAUCACUUCUCUCAUGAUUCGCAGGAGUUCUUACCUCUCAGAUCUGAAUCCGGAAACAAAUACGACGUCGGUGGCUAGAUACGUGGCGGUUCUCGGUUUGUUGGAUCUUCCCGAUUCUUUGGAGAGGAUACAGAGAGCUCAAGUAAUCGCCGGCAAGUUUCUGAUUGUCACUCUCAUUUCACAGUCUUGCUUGUUAUGUUUUAUCUUGUUCCUCCGGUAAAUCGGAUCCUCUAUCCUCUGUUUUCUUUGCGAACGACGCCGUUUUGAUUGUGAUCACAAACUCUCGUUUCUUGUUGUUUUUUUUUUUCCUGGUUUCUUUGGUUUGUACAUAUGAUUGAUUGUUGAAAACCGUUUGAUAUAUUCAAUUCAAUAUAAACAUAAAUGCUUGAUUUA